rnacentral:lncRNA from 1 species
AGUCCUUGGACAAUUUUUCACAUAAUAUUUGGGUACUCGGACUUAAUACAGCAACAUUUACAUUAGUUUGCCUAGAAAAGGCACAGAAGAUAAAAGCACACAGAACUACAGAACCACUUUCCAGAUGCAGACUAUAAACGCGUCUCAAGCAUGAGCAUGGAGAUCGUAAGCUUGGGAAGAGGUACCUCGAACCUAUGCAGGUAAUUCCAAACUUUAGAACCUUAUUCCCUGAAAUUCUAAGCCUUUCCCAAUACAAACCAAAAUUUAUGUUUCUUUUCUGACUCUUCCAAAUCUUUCUACCAAGCGAAAAUGUUCAAGGACUAUAGUUUUUACAGGGUAGAGAACUAAUAAACACCAAAAGAUCAUACUUUACUAUACUUACAAAUUACUAUCUCUACAAGAUAGAGGUAAGGUCUGCAUGAGUUCUACCCAGACAAACCUUGUGGAAUUACACUGGGUAAGUAAUCGUUGCUUACCAGUGGCGUAGCCACACGUAGUCCAUGGUGGUCGGUUGAACACCCUUCAUCGAAAAUUAUACUAUGUACAUAGUAAAUUUUAUGAAGUAUACGAGUCAAAAUUAUUUUUCAUAUGUAUAUAUUAAAUCUUGAGCACCCUUAAAGAAAUUUCUAGCGCUGCCACUAUUGCUUAUGUACCAAACACAUCCUAAGUGGAAAACAGUACAGCGGUGCCCAUUAUGCACUGAGUUCAAAAAUUGGAAUCAAGCUGAUUUCAAGAUUAACUUUUAUUCAUAACCUGUUCACCUAGAACCUCAACAACAUGCCCGGACACCGCGGUUACCGGAAAAAAAAAAGAACCUCAACAACAACAUACCCAGACCUUAACCUUACAAAAUAGCAAGGCCGUUUCCGGUAGAACUUCAGCUAGAACCCCAAAUAAGCUAAAUCCUCUCAUUUUCAGCUAAAACAAAAAUCAUGUGAACAACUUACAGAACUUGACUUUUUUCCACCCAAAAAACACAAAAAGAACGAGGAAAAAACAUUGAAAAAUGUACGAUCACAUCGGACAUGGACUAAAAUGACAAAUCUAAACAAAAAUCUACUAACUUCACAACAAAAAUGAAGAAACACAAGCUAUAUCAAAAGAAGGAAAAAUAAAAACAGAAAUUUAGAAGGUUCUAGAAACAUCUAACCCCCCCAAAAAUAAGGUUUCUAGAAACAAAAAAUGUGCGAUCAUAGACUCGAGCAGCUAAAAUGAUAAAGCUAAGCAAAAACCUACUAAAAUCACCAGCAAAAUGGAAAAACACAAGCUAUAACAAAAGCAGAAAAAGAACAGAAACUUAGGAAGGUUCUAGAAACAUCUAACCCAUAAAAACGAAGUUUCUGGAAACAAAAAUGUGCGAUCAUCAGCUAGAAUGAUAAAUCUAAGCAAAACUCUAGAAACUUCACUAGCAAAACAUGAACAAACGCAGAAAAAUUUAGGAAGGUUAUAGAAACAGUUAACACAAAAAACCGAAAGUGCUAAAACAAAAAUGUGGGAUCAUAUACGAGAGAAGCUAAAACGAUAAAUCAAAGCAAAAAUCUACUAAAAUCGCAAGCAUCAAAUGAAAAAAAAAAAAAUAUAUAUCAAAAGAACAAAAAUAGAAAAUUAGGAACGUUCUAGAAACAUCUAACCCAGAAAAACGAAGUUUCUGGAAACAAAAACGUGCGAUCAUCAGCUAAAAUGAUAAAUCUACGCAAAAUUCUAGAAACUUCACAAAGCAAGAGAUGAAAAAACACAGAAAAAUUUAUGAAGGUUCUAGAAACCUCUUAACACCAAAAAAGGAAGGUUCUAGAAGCAUCAUACCAGCGCUGCAAGAAGUAGGAGGAUCUUUCUGCAAAUCCUUAAGCUCUUUCAGAAUCCUCUUGGACGCCAUCUUCCACCAAAUCCCUAAAAUUAAAAAAAAAAUAAUUAAAGAAUCAAAAAUCAACUCUAUAUAUAAAAAAUAAAAAAAUAAAAAUUGAUGCAACUGAAAAAAUAUAUAACAUAGGAAAAAAUGGAGAUGAAUUUUACCUGAGAGAUCCUCCUACAAAAAUUGCGAUUUUUUCUUUUUUAAAGAAUUUGAGGAGUGAAGAGUAUUUUGUUGAAUGAAGGAGCUUAUUUAUAAUGGUAAAUAAAGGCAUUUUGUAUAUUUGUUGGCCAAAAUUUCAUGUUACGUCCUUAUUAGUUUGAGUAUUUGGCAUUUUGGUUCCUGUGUUUCUUUAACAUGUGGCAAAUAGGUCCAAUAUGUGCAUGAGUUUUAAAAAGUAUUUUACAAUUUGCAAAAUUGAUUUUUAUGGAAGAUUAAUAAUGUGUUUGGAUAAUUUUGAAGAAAUUGAUAAUAAACUUAGCUGGAGUUUAGUCAUAAAUUAUGGAUCAGAUUUUUAAAAUAUAUGUUUGAAUAAUUUUGAAGAAAUUGAUAAUAAACUUAGUUGGAGUUUAGUCAUAGAUUAUGGAUCAUAGUUUUAAAAUUUAUCUUUAAAUAUUUAUUUGACCAUAACUUUUGAUUAAGAUUUUACGAAUCUAACUUCAAAAAAUUUUCAAAUUUCAAAAGUUAGAUUCUAGGAGAGGCAAACUUAGGCCUCAAAAAUAUUUUAGACCCCAAAUUUUGAGUCAUAUUCAUAUUGGGCAAUAAUUAAGAGUUUGAUAGCAACUGUUUCAUAAUUAUAUGAAAUAACAACUUGUAUUUUGUGUUUUAUAAAAAUAUUGCUAUUAAAAUGCAUAUACAACAAGAUUUACUAUCUUUUUUUACUCAAAUCAGUUGAGUUAAAUAGGGAAUGAUUAUCCCAUUUAUUUAAAGCAGUAAAUUCUUAUUUAAAAUAGUAGAUUUCCUUUUCAUAAUUAAUCUUAUUUAAAUUAGUAGAUUACUUUUUCACAUCAAACUCAAAUAUGAAGAUUAUGAUUUUCAAAAAUUCAAAAUAAAGUAUCAAUAUCAUUUUUUUCUUUCAUUCACUCUUUUUUAUUUUGAUUUCUUUUUUCUCUUCUAUUUUUUUCUUUCCACUUUAUUUUCUUUGUUCUAUUUCUCUUCUUUUUUUCCCUUUUUCUUUUUUUUCUUUCACGUAUUUUUUUCUUUUAAUAUUUUUGUUUUCUUUUUCUUUUUUUCGUUUUUUAAAUUGUUUUUCGCUUUUAUUUUUACACUUCUAUUUCUAAUUUCUAUUUUUUUUAAUUUUGAUUUCUUUUUAUUUUACCAUUUUUCUCUCCGCUUUAUUUUUUCUCUUUUUUUUUCUUUUUCAUUUUUUCUUUAUUUUUUUUUCUUUUUCAUUUUUCUUAUUUUUUUUCCUUUGUCAUAUUUUUAUUUUUCGUUUUCUUCCUCUUUUUUCUAUUGUUAUUUUUUUUUUUUUGCUUUUAUUUUACAUUUCUAUUUUUUUCUUUCUCACUUCUUUUUAUUUUUGGAUUUUUCAUUUUCGUUUUUGUCUUCUUCUUUUUUUUUGUGUGUGUUUUUUUUCACUUUUCUAUUUCUAACUUUUAUUUUUAAAAGACAAAUAUCUAUAUGAUACAAGUGAAAUGACCGCCUUAACUUUUCAUGGCAUCAUUCAAAGUCACUACGUGAAGAAUCAAGUUUUGGUCCCAUGUAGGGCACGGGAUCAUACUUGUAGGGGUUAUUUUGAGCAUGCCAUCAAACAAACCCGUGUGUAGAAGAUUGCUUGGAGCCUUGAAGACUAGAGGACUCACGGGUUUGGACCACAUUUGAUGGCUCACGGUUUUGGCUCCUUUUAUUAAGGUCAUUUUGGUCACUUAAUCUCGAGGUCAUUUUGGUCUUUUAACCUUGUCUAAAUGACACUCCAUUGCCACCCACCUCAUUAAGGGCAUUGUAGUCAUUUUAUCUUUCUUUUGUAAUAUACUAUAUAUAGUCUAUUUUAGGUCAUUUCUCUUUAGUUAAUGAAUGAUGAACAUUUGAAAGACUUAUUCUCUCUUUGGAGAGUGCAACACCUUAGCAUAGUUCUUAGUUAGGGCUUGAAAAAGUCUAUCCUCAGUAUAGGGUUUGGAAAAGCUAAUAUUGUUCUUUGUUUGGAAACAGUGGAUCUUGAGGUGAUUGAUUCCUUUGGCGGUCACCGUAAGAGUGUGGUGUUGUUGUUACAUUAAUUAGGAGUUUAGUGUUUGAAUCACUUUGUUCCUAAGUCUUGUAACAAAUCUAUAUCUCACUAUCUAUCCUUUUAUUAUUGUAAUCUUGUUAUUGUUUGUAGUGGACUGUUUUUAAGUCUUGUUGAAUCCGAAAAUUUAUGUUCUUAUUGUCAUUUUGUUCUUCACGAUUUGUGGUUGUUUUUGGUGUCAAAUACACCUUUGUUUCUUGUAUUCUUGUUGUAUUUGUCGAAUCCGAGUGAGGUCUCCAUUUGGUCUACGAUUUGUUGUGAUUUGUGGACUAUUUUGGAGGGUGUAUUGGACUGUUUUUGUGGCUGUUUCGUGUUCCUCUUGUUUGUCUUGUAUCACUAUAUCAUAUAUAUACAUAUUUAAAAAAUAUACAAAAUAAAUAGAUAUAUAGAUUUGCAUAUGUAUUUACAGUACAAAACAUACAUAUAUAUCUGCAUAUGUAUUUACAGAAAUACAUAUCUAACUCAUAUUCAUAUAUAAACAUAUAGAACACAAAAUCUCUACAACAAAAAUGACAACUAUAUAUAUAUACACAUAUAGGUAAUCAAAAUACUGAAAAUGUAUUGCAUGAAUGGGACCAUUUUAGAAGUAUUGUAUAUAAAUAACAAUACAUAACUAGGUAAAUGUAUAGUAAAAAAAAGAUAUAAUGACAUUACAAAUAACUAAUACAUGCACAAAUUAUGUAUAUGUACUUGCUAAAAAUUUUAUAUAAAUAUAUAUGUAUUUGAUUUCAAUUAAAUAAUGCAUUUUCAUAUGUGUUAUGAAAGAUAUAUGUAUAGAUUUGCAUAAAAUACAUAUACAAAGUUAAAAAAUAUGAAAAAUAUAUAUAAUGACCUAUGAAUUCAUAUGCAGACCUGUAAAAUACAUAUGGAGAACAGAAAAAUACAUAUGCAGAGACUGAAAAAUACAAUUAAAAUACAUAUACAGACCUGUAAAUAUACAAACAUAAUCAACAUAUACAAACGAAAAUAAUAUAUACAGAUAAAAAUCAGUACAUUACAAUUUCACUAUUCUGAAUAUACAAACAUAUUAAUCGACUAUACAAUCCGAUAAAAUUUGAAUUUUUUAAUUACUAUUUAACGUAUUAAAAUCGAGUUUGAACAAAUAAUAACUCGAUCGGUUAGAUUUUCAUCUAAUUCGAUGAAAUAGUACAAUUGUCUUUAUUUUUUUAAAACUCACAUACUAAAUAUUUAGAAAAACUAUCUGCUGAAAACAAAAUUGACCAAAAAAAAUGGUUAAAGACAUAAAAAUGUUAUCAAACAACAUUAAAUUGUUUUAAGUUAAUUAGGAAACUUGUUUGUCCCUUUUAAUUCAAAGUCCCAGAUAGAAGAGUAAGAAAAUUAAAAAAAGAAAAAAAAAAGAAAAAGAUGAAAACGAAAAAUAAAAAUCUGAAAAAAAGAAGUGAAAAAGAAAAGAAAAGAAGAAAGAGAAAUAGAAACUAGGAAUAAAAGUGUAAAAACAAAAGAGAAAAAAACAAAAAAUAAAAAAAGAAGAAGAAAACGAAAAAAAAAAUAUGAGAAAGGAAAAAAUAAGAAAAUGAAAAAAGAAAAAAAGGAAAAAAAAAAAAGAACUAGAAGAGAGAAAAUAAAGUGGAAUGAAAAAAAUUAAAUUAAAAAAAUAAAACAAAAAAAAUUAAAAAACUAGCAAGAUAAAAAAGUUAAAGAUAUAAGAGAGUGAUAUUUUAAAAUUUUGAAUGUCAUGAAGAUAUUAAUGUUCAUAAUUGAGUUUGAUUCGGAAAAGAAAUCUAUUAAGUUAAAUAAGAGUAAUUUAGAGGAAAGGAAAAAAAUUGAAAGGGGAAUCUAAGAGAUUUAAGUUAAUAAAAGAUAAAGUAAAAAUUAGUUAAAGAAAAUAGAAAGAGAAGUGACAUAAAAAAGAAAUCUUAUACAUGGUAACUCUUUGAGUAGUAAGUGAGGGACCACAUUUAAAAUAAUAAUAUAUUUGCUACAAAAUAUAAUUUUAUUAAAUUAUUAUUAUUUUUUAUAAUUUAAGUCUUAAGUAUGUUAUUUCUUGUAGUUUUUCCAUUUAUAUAUUAGUAAACUAGCCCAUGUUAUAUACUUACUCAAAAUUUUUCCUUCAAUGUUUCCAUACAACGACAUAUCAGUGUAAUUUCAUAACUAGAGUCUGUGGUAUAUAAUGUGUACGCAUACCUUACUUCUACCUUGGAAGAUAGAAAGGUUAUUUCUGAUAGACUACCGGCUUACGUAUAGAUAUAACAAGGGAGUUUUCAAUUAAUCUAUUAUCAACCAUUGAAGGCUGCUUGAAUAUUCGAUUUCGGAAAUUGUGAAGAUAAAGAGAUUGUUUUUAAUAAAUUCUCGGUUCAAGUAAGCAUAUCAAAAAUCAAGUAUGUAAAGUAAAUAUGGUAGUGAAGAAACAAUAUUAAAAACAAUUAAGAAGAGAACAAAUAACAUGACAAUUGAAUAAUCCACACACCUACUCGAAACUUACUACUGACUCUAAAUCUUGAAUUCGUCUCACAUCCACCAUGUUCUUGUGACCACUGAGUCAAGAAGAACAUGGAAGAGAUGAUACUUUGAGAGUGAGAAAAAGAAGUUUAAAAUUUACAAUCAAAGUAGUAUUUCAAGAUAGCCUUAAACAAGAGUGACUACUGGUGCACUAUUUACAUGAACUGGGAUCAAGUUACACGACUUUUUGUUCACUGAGAGAGUGAAAAGUUAAAGCAUUUUCAACAUGAAUUAAGAUGGUAAACUUGUGAUAAAAAUGGCUCAUUGAGAAUCAGAUUGUGUCUCAAGCACUGGUGUGGCUGCUGCUGCUCUUGAUGUUGAAUUUUCUGUUUUUUCUUCAGAUGAAAGCUGAUUCUCUAAGCUCGUGGGACGAACAUUCUCGAUCAUUUUAACAACCUCACACAUUUUUGGUCUUUGAUCUGCCAUCCUUACCACACAUGACAUUGCGAUUUGCAACAUUUCGAC